AGCAAACUGAAGCCUUUUUUUCUGAUCAUCCUCACUGAUCAGUGUUUUCUUAGAGCUACAGCUGUUUAGUCCCAAUCCUUUGAGUUCCCUUCAUAUUGUGUGUGUGGAAAUGUUCUUACUUUCACUAUUAAACAUAGCCCUGAGUUCUACUGUUGAUUUCCUACCAUCAUCUAAGAGUUUGUUCCGACCACAGAUGAUGGUUCUCUACUAUCCUUCAGGUUUUAAUAAUGUGUUGGAUGGUUCUGAACCUGAUUUUAGUAGUUUCAUCUCCUUAAUUGUUUUCUUAGCUUGAUGCAGGCCAAUAAUUUGACCCUUCUGAGAGAUUAACAUCCUUUCCAUGAUCACAGGAUCUGUCUUCCAACAUGUUGUUUAAGAAAUGAGAAGCUCCUCACUGCAUCAGCUAGGGUUCAAUAAGUUGUUGCAGCUGAAACAUAUUCAUCACUGCUCUAAUAAUCCAAUGGAAGAAUCUUACCUAUCUGAUUAAAUAAAUUGAAGUGGUGACUUUUUUUUUGGCCAGGCAGUGUAUUUCUUGAUUUAAUAGAAGAAACAAGAUGAAAACGUCACAAACCUGGUCUUUAAUUUAUACAUGGAACUCCAGCCUGAUUUUAACACGAUGCCCUGAUAUGCAUUUACAUCUGCAAGGUCUUAAACAGAUUUGUGCCUUACUUGAAAUCCUACCCAAGACUAAAACAUAAAAUCAGCAAAACCUGGAUCACACUGUUCCUAUCUGAUGAUUUAUAGUCAAGAGUAAUGAAAGAAAGGAUGCAAAAAGGGAAGAAUUCACACAGAACAAGGAAAAUCACAGCUUUUAAUUUCUUUUUUAAAAAAGUGCAUGUACAUCCAUUUCACACUGGUUGGAUCUGAAUGAUUUCUGCAGUGAACAAAAAUAUAUAAAACUAACUGUACAGAAUAUGACAAAACAGGAGGCAUCACAAACAGGAAUAUUAAAAUAACUUCAAUGUGAAUUUCUAUGAAGCAGACAGUAAGAGCUCAUCUAACACAUUGUUUUAUUUCACUUUUUAAGCUGUGUUAGAUAAACAGCAGAAAAUUCUGUGCCUUUUCUUCUCUUUUUUUUAUAAAGAUCAACUGUGUGCAGUCAGAUGAAAUCAGUGUUUUGGAAUAAAAAUGUGUUCACAC
ensembl:lncRNA